rnacentral:rRNA from 1 species
AGCGUAGACGGAAUGGCAAGUCUGAUGUGAAAGGCCGGGGCUCAACCCCGGGACUGCAUUGGAAACUGUCAAUCUAGAGUACCGGAGGGGUAAGUGGAAUUCCUAGUGUAGCGGUGAAAUGCGUAGAUAUUAGGAGGAACACCAGUGGCGAAGGCGGCUUACUGGACGGUAACUGACGUUGAGGCUCGAAAGCGUGGGGAGCAAACAA